GAAAAUGUAUGUCUAUUUAAAUCGCACAUAAAAAAAUCCGGUCAAAUUUUCAUUGUAAAUAUGAAUUCCUUUGUUAUAAGAGCCGCUAAAUCUUAUUUGACCACUACAGGAGCAACUGUUAAUGGUCAUUAUGGAGAAAUCCUUUACAAGGGAGAUAGGUUAGUUACGUUUGUAUAAGAAAAAUCGAGAUCUAGUGACAUAACGCAAAGUCUUCCGAAAGUGGAACAAAUCUUUGAAGCACGUUCAAUUGAUUCAUUAUCCCCGAAUCUCGAAAGGAGAAUUGAGGAUUGGAAUGAGCUUAUACCAAGAAUUCUUGGGGUCCCUUGGGGAUUCUUGAUUGGAGCUGAUAUAAAGAUCAGAUUUGUUAUUAAACCGAAGGGUCGUAAGGACAUCUCCAAUGGCAACCCGCAAAUUUCCUUCCGCAUCCCUCCGCAGACUGGUCCACGGACAUGGAUGCGGGGGUUCCAGUGCUAG
rnacentral:rRNA from 1 species